rfam:Erythranthe guttata cultivar DTN x IM62 scaffold_3601_contig_1, whole genome shotgun sequence.
GGGUGCGAUCAUACCAGCACUAAUGCACCGGAUCCCAUCAGAACUCCGAAGUUAAGCGUGGUUGGGCGAGCACGAGAGUAGUACUAGGAUGGGUGACCCCCUGGGAAGUCCUCGUGUUGCACCCC